rnacentral:lncRNA from 1 species
CAUAUGCCAAUAGAAGACAUUCAUGCAACACAAAAGAUGUCUGAGAGACCCACGCAGGCAUACAUCUGAAGGUGGAGGUGCUGGACCCCCCAGAAGAAGUGGAAGGAGGCCUCACCUAACUCUGAUUAGAUAGCCUCUAACCCACGAAGUUGGAUUUGCUGGAAACCUGACAACCAUUUACUAUUGUGCUGUGGACUCUUGCUUUUUGGCAAAGUUUGGAUCAAGAUACUUUGCCCUGGGAUCUGUGGCAGCAGUUCCAUUCGGUUUGCCUGAGCUGAGCUCUUCUGAACCGGAGAACCAUUGCUUACCUCUGCCUGGUGCUUGAAGGUCAGCCCUUGCUUGAAGGUCAUCCCUCAGCUGAAUAUUACCAUUCCUUGCUGGCUAGGGCAUUUCAGCAAAUGCUUUUGUUCUAGAAAGAAAUCAUGUGACUGUUUUUACAGCAUACUUUGUCUGGUAAUUAAAAUAACCACAAGUAUUGUGGUCACAAACCUGUUCCAUU